CAGAGGGUGCAAGCGUUAAUCGGAAUUACUGGGCGUAAAGCGUGCGUAGACGGUUGCGUAAGUCAGAUGUGAAAGCCCCGGGCUCAACCUGGGAAUUGCAUUUGAGACUGCGUAGCUAGGGUGCGGAAGAGGGAAGCGGAAUUUCCGGUGUAGCGGUGAAAUGCGUAGAUAUCGGAAGGAACACCAGUGGCGAAAGCGGCUUCCUGGUCCAGCACCGACGUUCAGGCACGAAAGCGUGGGGAGCAAACAGGAUUAGAUACCCUGGUAGUCCACGCCAUAAACGAUGAGGACUAGACGUUGAGAGGGUAAGCCUCCCAGUGUCGCAGCUAACGCGAUAAGUCCUCCGCCUGGGGAGUACGGCCGCAAGGUUG
rnacentral:rRNA from 1 species